rnacentral:tRNA from 1 species
GAGGGUGUAGCUCAGUGGCAGAGCAUAUGCUUGGCAUGCACAAGGUCCUGGGUUCAACCCCCAGUGCCUUGG